AUGUCAUGUAGCGAGUUUCAUUACCGUGAUAGUACAUAUUUCAUCUAUUUGCGCUUUCGGUCUUUCACCAAGAAGAUGCACGCGACUACAAGUUUGGUUAUGUGUGUUUUGCUAAAUGGUGCAACUUUACCCUAUAAAAUCCGAGUGAUGUGUCCUUCCAACUAUAUAUGUUUGUCCUUCACAGUUGCAUCCUUAGAAUUGUAUUUCUCCUUCUCUCUUUUUUCGGGUAAUAUUUCUCCUUCUCAAUUGCAUACUUACUGUGUUUUUUCCUUCUCAGAUGUAUCUUUUAACUUCAGGAAUAAGCUCUGGUUUUUUUUUCCGGGGGAGGAAUAA
rnacentral:rRNA from 1 species